rnacentral:rRNA from 1 species
UGGGGAAUUUUGGACAAUGGGCGAAAGCCUGAUCCAGCAAUGCCGCGUGUGUGAAGAAGGCCUUCGGGUUGUAAAGCACUUUUGUCCGGAAAGAAAUCCUCUGGGUUAAUACCUCGGGGGGAUGACGGUACCGGAAGAAUAAGCACCGGCUAACUACGUGCCAGCAGCCGCGGUAAUACGUAGGGUGCAAGCGUUAAUCGGAAUUACUGGGCGUAAAGCGUGCGCAGGCGGUUUUGUAAGACGGAUGUGAAAUCCCCGGGCUUAACCUGGGAACUGCAUUCGUGACUGCAAGGCUAGAGUAUGGCAGAGGGGGGUUAGAAUUCCACGUGUAGCAGUGAAAUGCGUAGAGAUGUGGAGGAAUACCGAUGGCGAAGGCAGCCCCCUGGGCCAAUACUGACGCUCAUGCACGAAAGCGUGGGGAGCAAACAGGAUUAGAUACCCUGGUAGUCCACGCCCUAAAACGAUGUCAACUAGUUGUUGGGGAUUCAUUUCCUUAGUAACGUAGCUAACGCGUGAAGUUGACCGCCUGGGGAGUACGGUCGCAAGAUUAAAACUCAAAGGAAUUGACGGGG